GACGAACGCUGGCGGCGUGCCUAAUACAUGCAAGUUGAGCGCUGAAGGUUGGUACUUGUACCCACUGGAUGAGCAGCGAACGGGUGAGUAACGCGUGGGGAAUCUGCCUUUGAGCGGGGGACAACAUUUGGAAACGAAUGCUAAUACCGCAUAAAAACUUUAAACACAAGUUUUAAGUUUGAAAGAUGCAAUUGCAUCACUCAAAGAUGAUCCCGCGUUGUAUUAGCUAGUUGGUGAGGUAAAGGCUCACCAAGGCGAUGAUACAUAGCCGACCUGAGAGGGUGAUCGGCCACAUUGGGACGGAGACACGGCCCAAACUCCUACGGGAGGCAGCAGUAGGGAAUCUUCGGCAAUGGACGAAAGUCUGACCGAGCAACGCCGCGUGAGUGAAGAAGGUUUUCGGAUCGUAAAACUCUGUUGGUAGAGAAGAACGUUGGUGAGAGUGGAAAGCUCAUCAAGUGACGGUAACUACCCAGAAAGGGACGGCUAACUACGUG
rnacentral:rRNA from 1 species